AACGCAUUAAUAUCAUAUAAUACCUGAUACAAUGGCACCUAUGUCUAAAAAAAAAGAAUUAAAGUUAACUUUUUGCAUGUUGAUCACGUAGUCUGUCACCAUUCUGAACUCACUUAUCAGUUCUAAGAGUCUCUUCUGUAGAUUCUGUGGGCAAAAGGCUGAAUAUGUUCCUUCUAACCAAACUGUAAGCCUCCAGCAGUAGCUUACAGCAGCACAAAGCUGGAUCAUUCACCAUGGAAAAGCUGUCAAGAAAACCCAUGGGGUCACUUAUAUAGCUAAUCCUACCUGCUUUUGGUUUCUAUUUGGGUAAAAUAUCUUUUUUCAUCCCUUCAGUUUCAAUCUAUGU
rnacentral:lncRNA from 10 species